GGACUACCAGGGUAUCUAAUCCUGUUUGCUCCCCACGCUUUCGUGCCUGAGCGUCAAUAUUGACCCAGGAGGCUGCCUUCGCCAUCGGUGUUCCUCCACAUAUCUACGCAUUUCACUGCUACAUGUGGAAUUCUACCUCCCUCUGCCAUAUUCUAGUGAACCAGUCACGUAUGCCAUUCCCAGGUUGAGCCCGGGGCUUUCACAUCCGUCUUAAUUCACCGCCUGCGCACCCUUUACGCCCAAUUAUUCCGAUUAACGCUCGCACCCUACGUAUUACCGCGGCUGCUGGCAC
rnacentral:rRNA from 1 species